GCCGGAGUGGCGGAAUGGCAGACGCGGCGGACUCAAAAUCCGUUGCCCGCAAGGGCGUGUGGGUUCGACUCCCUCCUCCGGCACCA
rnacentral:tRNA from 1 species